UCCCCCUCCCAACCCUGGCUUGGCUCUGGGGGGCUCAGUGGAAUAUGCAAAUAUCUCCCCAACCAGCUGGUGUCUGCCUCCCAGAAACACAUGUUCCUAAGCCUCUCUGCCUCACCAGGGAGGGGGGACCAGAGCCUCUGCCCAUGCCACAGCCCGGGGAGGACAUAUUACAGAGCAAGGAACAGCACAGCAAGCAGAUGGGGAAGGACUGCUAGCCACGGGGGAGGAGGGCAGGAGAGGAGCAGUGCCAUCUCUCCCAUCUACGUAGCCUCAAUCUCCACCCAGAGAGGCACCUUCUUGUUCAACCUGUGUUCUACUGCCUUUGUCCUUAAAACUGCAAGACCACUUUGGAGGGCCUUGCGCCUUAGGGAUGAUGAGGAGCCGUCCUUCAUCUCCUGUCAGACACCCACAAAACUUCACAAACCCCACAGUAGCCUCUGCUCUGCCAUCAGAGAAUGCCCCACCCCAUUCUGCCAUAUCAGAGCGGCGGCUUUCUUCCCGGCGCCUGCCCCAGUGAGGUCUGGGGUGCAAUUGCUUCUACAUUUCUUCUCCCACAUCCAGAGGUGACCCCCAGAUCCUGAGAGGCAACAGGUGUCACUCUAGAAGGCAGGUACCUCCUGUCUCCUGGCAGGCCUGGUAUGUCCCGAUAUCCCUUGUUCUCUGCCCAUAAAGCACCAACAGAGGCUAUCUGUGCCCUGCCUCAGCAAGAAGACACCAAGUUGGUUUCUACUCCUGCUGAAAGGAGACCCAAACUCUUACCGAGUGUCCCCGAGGGGCUUCCAGCUCCUCCUUUCCAGGCCUCCUCAGUUGGAUUGGAUUGCACAUUGGCACUUACCUGAAUGAGAGAGGGAUUCACUACCUGGCCCGCCAGUGGGGAUCCCCGACCUGAAUCUCAGCCACACCCAGCCAAGCCACUGGGGUUCAUGAGCCAUCUGGCUUUGAAGGCUGAGGUGAUCCGAGGGGUGCCCCAGAGCGGCCUGUGUAGAGAUGCUGCUGGCUGCUGGGUGGCCCCCGGGCCUCUUUAUAAUGCCUACACUGGUGGAGGCCAGAGAAGGAAGAAGGCAAACUUCCCACCUUUCCCUGUGACUGCUGAGCACAGAACAGACACCAUCCAUGUUGGGCACCUGGCAGAGGGUCCCGUUUCUGGCCCUGGAAAUAUCCUAGGACUCUGCUUCAACUCUUGUCAGAUGUGUUCCAGACACAGAGUUAGGUAGAUCAGAGAAGGAGAGCCUGUGCUCGGUAAACUGGACCUCCUCCACAGCUUUCGUGAUGUGAGGUGAGAUGGCAGGCAAGGGUCCUGGUUACUGACAAAGGAUGCUGGCUUUCGUUAGUAAAGGCUCCAGGCUCAGGAACAUGACUUUGGUUGGAUAAGUGUCCUUGGGGGACAGAAUCCUUACUAGCAAAAUGAGAAGGUUGGGCAGGGGUCUUAAAGCCAAUGCCUGCAGUGGCCCGGCAGGAAUGUGUCCCCGGAAGUGGGUGGGCUGUGCAGGUCCUGCUCAUUAAAAGCUGUUGUUUCUCUAUCCAAUCAACAGCUGCUGUAAGAGCCGCAGCUCCAGAGUGGCCAGAUCCU